CUGGAGAGAGACAGACCUGCAAGUGGAGAGGAGGAAGGCAUUUCAGUGUAUGGAAUGAUUAAAAGCUGGUCAGGUGUGACCCUUUGGUGCACGUGGCCCUUUGGCUGGAGCUGUGCAGUGAGGUAAGGCUGAAAAGAGAGGGCAGGCUCUGAGGUACCCACGACAGUGCUUCCCACAGGAUGUUCCACUGCCCAAUUCUGAAGGACCACAGACAGGCCAAAAGUUCAAGUGCUUUCCUAUAUUCAUACAAAUGAAUGGCAUACAUCUCUUCAUCCCAGCCCUUCCACUGAGCCUUCUGGAGCACACAUUUUCAUUAGGAAAAAACCUUCUAUACUGUCAACCUCAGCCUCCUUGAAUACCCUUGAUCUAACAGAAACCUGGGUGUCCCCUGAGGACAGCUCUUUCUCAGAAGGCUUUUCAAGUGGUGACCUCUUAGUUCUCUCUCCACAAGCCACGUACCAUGGAGAUGACUCUUCAUUACUGCUUCCAAGUCAUUUCUCCUCAAACAUCCCAGCUACCUUGAAAUAGCCCAUCAGACUACUCCAUCCAUCAACCUUUCUUGCUCGAGUCAUCGGCAGACAUCACCAUCACUCCUGCUCAUUUUCUGAUCAUCUGAGCACCUAGCUCACUGUCUUUCCCUCCACACUACUCCUGUGCUCAUUUUGUAAAUUUCUACAUCCCUGCACACAAGGCACCCAACAACACAGCCUCUAAGUCCUUGAUCUGCUUGCUCACUUCCUCUAUUCUACCUCAGCUACCCAGCCCCUUAGUCUCACCCUGCCUAGACAUUCUCUCCACUGGUGACUGCACUGCCACUACAAUUCUGAAUUCAUGCAUUCCACUCCCUGACUACCACUUCCCAGCAUUCAGGUCACUUCCUCUAGUCCUGACUCAAAUAGUUUUUGACCCGCUCUGUUAUCUCUACUACUUUUCUCAUUGUCCAUCGCCAUCUUCAUGUCCUCACUUCCCUCCUCACCCAACUAGGAUUCUGAAGUUCAGUACUGAAAUCACUUUCUUACUGAUGCCUUCCCAAUUCCCUCACUUCUCUUUUCCUCCAUAUUUGCCUGGCAAAACCCUAAUCUUGAUUAAAUCCAACUCUCCACCUACUCCAUGUCCCAGGGCAGUUACAUAUAGCUGAAGAACAAUAUAACCAUUCCACUUGCUCUUACUUUAAGUUCAUCACCACAAAUCUCAAGUGCACCCCCAGCUCUGCCCAGCAAUCCUACUACAUUGACCUAGUCCCUGGGGAAACCUAUUGUUCUCUUUAAACUUCUAACAACAAUCCCUAAUCUUCAUGCUUAGCUGACUUUUACCUCUUUUUAACUGAAAGAAUCUAUCAGAAGAGAACUACCUUGUCUUUCCACCUUAAAAUCUACACAUUCACCUG
rnacentral:lncRNA from 1 species